UACGGAGGGUACAAGCGUUAUCCGGAAUCACUGGGUUUAAAGGGUGCGUAGGCGGCUAGAUAAGUCAGAGGUGAAAGUUUGUCGCUAAACGAUAGAACUGCCUUUGAUACUGUUAAGCUUGAAAGUAGGUGAGGUUGGCGGAAGGUGACAUGUAGCGGUGAAAUGCAUAGAUAUGUCAUAGAACACCGAUUGCGAAGGCAGCCGGUUAACCUGACUUUGACGCUGAGGCACGAAAGCGUGGGUAGCGAACAGG
rnacentral:rRNA from 1 species